rnacentral:misc_RNA from 1 species
UCCAGCUUAUCGCUGGCGGUCUCCUGCGAGUUCCGCCUUUCGGCAUGUCAAGGGUAGGUAAGGUUUUUCGCGUUGCAUCGAAUUAAUCCACAUCAUCCACCGCUUGUGCGGGCCCCCGUCAAUUCCUUUGAGUUUUAAUCUUGCGACCGUACUCCCCAGGCGGUCAACUUCACGCGUUAGCUUCGUUACCAAAGAAUUGCUUCCCCGACAACUAGUUGACAUAGUUUAGGGCGUGGACUAC